rnacentral:rRNA from 1 species
GGUCAAGCGAAUAAGUGCAUGUGGUGGAUACCUUGGCAC